AGCGAACGCUGGCGGCGUGCUUAACACAUGCAAGUCGAGUGCGCGCCUGUAGCAAUACAGGUGGCGCACGGCGCACGGGUNCGUAACACGUGGUAAUCUGCCCUUCGAUGGGGAAUAACCUCGCGAAAGCGAGGCUAAUUCCGCAUAACAUUCCGAUGGUUCCGAUCAAUGGACUCAAAGCCGUAAGGCGUCGGAGGAGGAGCCCGCGCACGAUUAGCUAGNGGUGAGGUAACGGCUCACCAAGGCUUUGAUCGUUAGCUGGUCUGAGAGGAUGGCCAGCCACACUGGACUGAGACACGGUCCAGACUCCUAC
rnacentral:rRNA from 1 species